ACAGGUUCCGAGUCAGCAGGUCUGGGGUGGGUCUGAGAUUCACCAUUUCUAUCACCCUCUCAGGGAUGACAACACUGCCGCUCUAGGGACUAGCUUUGUGUAGUGAGGGGCUCCAUCACCUCAGAUUCAACUCUAAAGCCGAGGUAUUAUAGUGAACCCCCAAUUGCUAGGUAAACAAGGAGUGUUGAUUUUCUCUUGAUAGGACAGUGAAAUUUCUCCAGCUGUAGCUUGUAUUGCUGUUCCUCACACUUGACCUUUUCUGUCUCAAACACAUUUCACGUGCCCUGAGUAUGGAGCUUGCAGGCUUCAGCGUUGCCUGUGUGAGGCUGUCCUAUGAGGCCGGAAGUGGGUAGCUGACGUGGAAGGCCAAUAAGCGUGUGCAUGAGUGGGACCAGAACAAAACCAGUGCUGACUUAGCAUCUUCACUUCAGAAGAAGCUUAUUGGUUUCAAGUCUCACCACUUCCCAUUCCCCUGAUAAGAAAGCCCAGAUGCUCCUGCCUUUGGCACCAGCCAAAAGACACAAGUCCAAAACCACAGGAGCCCAAGCCAGCCUCCUUUCCCUGCUCCCUCAAGCCACUUUAGAACACCUUGGGGACCUGCCCCACUCUCCCCGGAGAGCCACCUUGGAGUUCAUGGAAAGAUGAUAUACUUCAAGUCAUGAGAAGAGCGAGGUGGUCAAAAUGUCAAAUACAAAAAACACGACUUCAGCAGAGGCCCUGAAGAUAAGCUUUGUGGAGCUGGACUGGACCAGGGAGAGCUGUGAGGAGAAUGUGGUCGUAGCCUGCUGAGCUGCUGGGGAAUGGCAAUGAAAAAGAAAGCAAGGCAGGGCUACAAACCAGACUGUGCAGAGAAAAAGCAGCAGGCUCUGGCAGCAGGUGGGAAGGAGGAGGGAGAGAGAGGCACGACUUUCCGGCAGCGUCCAUCUGUUGUCUUGUCGCUUGUCUGCCAGUUGAAUUUAGCCGGGUGACUUCUGAAAGCCAACUGCCCUUCACCUUCGAGCGUACUGUUGACAAACAAUAAGAGUACUUACAAGUGAAGAAGUGAAGAGCUGGCUUGAUCAAUUAGUGGUUCUUGAAGGAAAUAGGGCAGAGAACUUCCCAUUCGGAAACUCUCAAAAUAGAGACCAACCAUCACCUUCAUUGAAGGACCCCCCGGGCCCAAAGCCUUUUGUACUCAUGAUAAAUCCCUCCCUGCUGUGGUCUCUCAAUCCAAAGAUGAUCAGAGGAGACAGGAGAGGGGAGAACCAUUGCUUGGCACGUCCCCACUUAGAACAACUCCAGUGGUCCCUAGGUUUGGGCAUGGGCGCCCCUAUGGCUCCACAAAUGAGUUGGGUGCUGGAAUGAACUAUAACUGUUUUAAAACCAGUUGCUUGUAUCAGUUCAACCCAGUGGGCUCUGUUUUUAAUGGUAAUGGGUUUUGUUUGUUUGUUUUUAACUUUUUUGUUUUGUUUUCUUUUGACCAGAGUGCCUCUUCUGGUGUUCCAAGAGAAGCAUGCUUUGUUGAGGGAAACUUAGCCAGGUAGUUAGGACAAAGAGGUCAAUUUCCCUCCACCCUGACAUUUUCAAAGCCAGGUUUACUAGCCUUGGGCGAAUCAUUAAACUUUCUAGGCCUCUCUGCUCUCCUGUCUGCUGCCUGAAAGCCUGCUGGGUUUCCUCGGUGAAAGACCCACUCAAGUACAAAGAGUCAAGAUGUGAAAUCUUCCAAGCCUGGUGUGUCUGGUGCUUUCUGCAUGCUCUCAACUCUGCCCUUAAGUUAUUCAUUCAGAACGGUGUGCAAACUUACAGACAGGAACUCUUUUAGGCUUCAGGUGAGUGACAAGCCAUUGCACCCUAAAUCUGCACGCUCUCCUGUUCACAGGGCUCGACACAGAGAUGGGGAAGUGUGCAUUAGUGAUUGCAGGAGCUGCAUCUCUCUGGGAACAUUUUGCUUCUCUUUGUUUCACACCCAGGACACAACUUGUCAAAUUACUCAUCUGAUCUAUCCCAGUGUCUUCCUAUUUCAUUUUAUUUCAUUUUUUCUCAAAGACUGUAACCUACUUGACAGGAACCGCAUUUGUAAUUCAGAUAGGAAACUGCUUUCUCAGAUUGGUUAUUUUACCCCAUCUUUUUUUGUGUGAUAUAAUUGGCAUAUAACAUCGUGCAAGUUUAAAGUGUACAACGAGUUAAUUUGAUACAUUUAUAUAGAGUACUGCAACAUGAUUACCACUGUAACAUUUAUAUAUUGCAAUAUGAUUACCACCAUAGUGUUAGCUGACACCUCCAUCACAUAACAUAAUUAUCAGUUCAUUUUGUUUCACCCCAUCUUAAACCAGUGAAGAACUUGUUUUCAGGUAGCAAUUCAUAGGAGUGUUAAAGGUGGCUACAGCAUAAGCACAAGUCAAGAAGUGCUGGCAGGUACAUGGGUUAAUUGAUUUCGGUCCAUUUUAAAGGUCAGCGC
rnacentral:lncRNA from 1 species